CAGUCAGUUCUCCUAACCGCUGAGCCAUCUCUCCAGCCCCCUCUAUAUUUCUUAAGAAAGUUUCAGAGCAUCCUUUCCUUCUUAUGAGCUACUGACAUGUUCUGAGGAAAUUCCUCUUGUGCCUGUCACCAUCUCAGUCCAUCUCUCUUGGCUUCUUUGUCUUUUGCAGCUUUCAUAUACGGCCAGACAAGCUGACACUGCUUUGAUUUACCAUUCCACUUACCAGAAAAGUAUGUGAAGUUGCUGUAAUUAAAAACCAUUUUUGCAAGUCUGCCUGAGGCAGAUUGGGUGCUCCAGACCCCCUCUCAUACCUAGAGACAGCCUGACUUCUAGGAGUUCCAUCAUAACUACGAUCACAGGACCCAGUUAUUCAUGGUGUUGGGAGC